rnacentral:snRNA from 13 species
UUGCUUUCUCAGCACAUAUAUAAAAUUGGAAGGCUACAGAGAAGAUUACCAUGGCUUCUGUGCAAGGAUGGCACACACAUUUGGGAAGCACUCCAUAUUUUU